rfam:Triticum aestivum genome assembly, contig: Triticum_aestivum_CS42_TGACv1_scaffold_068380_1DL
CAAGUACUCCCUCCGUCCGGAAUUACUUGUCAUCAAAAUGGAUGUGUCUAGAAUUGAAAUACAUCUAAAUACAUCCAUUUCAAUGACAAGUAUUUUCGGACGGAGGGAGUACAAG